rnacentral:rRNA from 1 species
CUCUUCUUGUAAUUUAUUUAUGAAGUAUAACCUGCCCACUGAAAUUUAUUUGAAGGGCCGCGGUAUUUUGACCGUGCAAAGGUAGCAUAAUCAUUAGUCUUUUAAUUGUGGACUGGAAUGAAUGGUUGGACGAGGAAUAUACUGUUUCUUUAAAAUUUUAUUGAACUUGAAAUUUAAGUAAAAAUGCUUAAGUUUUUUUGUGGGACGAGAAGACCCUAUAGAGUUUAAUAUUUUUAAAUUAUUUAUUAGUGUUUGAUAUAAUUUAAUAUUUAAAAGUAUUUUGUUGGGGUGAUAGGAAGAAAUAAAAAAACUCUUUUUUUUAUUUAUAUAUUAAUUUAUAUUUUUUUUGAUCCAAUUUUGUUGAUUAUAAGACUAAAUUACCUUAGGGAUAACAGCGUAAUCUUUUUAGAGAGUUCAUAUCGAUAAGGGGGUUUGCGA